AUUAAGGUGCCUGAUUAAAGGGUUAAUUUGAUAGAUUAAAUAAUGUUAUAUUUUUAUA
rnacentral:tRNA from 1 species